CCGACCUUAGCUCAGAUGGUAGAGCGGAGGACUGUAGAUCCUUAGGUCGCUAGUUCGAAUCCGGCAGGUCGGA